rnacentral:rRNA from 1 species
GACGAACCGUGCAAACGUUAUUCGGAAUCACUGGGCUUAAAGCGCGUGUAGGCGGGCCGGCACGUCGGUCGCUGAAAUCCCCCGGCUCAACCGGGGAAGCGGCGCCGAUACGACCGGCCUGGAGGGGCGUAGGGGGACCUGGAACUUCCGGUGGAGCGGUCAAAUGCGUUGAGAUCGGAAGGAACGCCCGUGGCGAAAGCGAGGUCCUGGACGCCAUCUGACGCUGAGACGCGAAAGCCAGGGGAGCGAACGGG